CAGCAGCCGCGGUAAUACGUAGGUGGCAAGCGUUGUCCGGAAUUAUUGGGCGUAAAGGGCUCGCAGGCGGAUUUUUAAGUCAGGGGUGAAAUCCCGAGGCUCAACCUCGGAACUGCCUUUGAUACUGGAGAUCUUGAGUUCGAAAGAGGUUGGUGGAACAGCUAGUGUAGAGGUGAAAUUCGUAGAUAUUAGCUAGAACACCAGUGGCGAAGGCGGCCAACUGGUCCGAUACUGACGCUGAGGUGCGAAAGCGUGGGGAGCAAACAGGAUUAGAUACCCCCGUAGUCCCUGUCUCUUAUAC
rnacentral:rRNA from 1 species